AAGAGGGGGGAAAGUCCAAGUCCAAGAAGUGGAAGAUGGAGUCCAAGUGACAGAGGAAAUAUCCGGGAUCGUUGACAAAGGAAAGGACAAUAAGAAGAGUGGGAAAGAAAAGCAUAAUGAAGAAGAACUACAAACUCUUAGGUCUGAAGUAGAAAUACCCGAGAUCGUUGAUA